UCCAUUGUAACUUGAUCUUUGGAUCCUCACAGGAGAGUCAUGACAGUAUGGAUAUAUUUAGUAUGCCAAAGUUCCCAGAUGUAUACUUUGUAUUUGAGAAUUUAAUAUGACACUCAGUGGACACUAUUUCUGUGCUUCUAGGGCCCAUAAUGCAAUUCUUCAGAAAAUGGGCGUGACUUCACAACAUUUUCACAUUUGAAGAAAAUGGCAGAAAAUAAGUCCAACGAGAGCAGAUAAAAAUGAAAGAGGCAUGCGGCCGUGAAGGGGCUUGCGAAUACUGUCUGGAGGGGAAGGUGGCUGCAGCCUGGAUAAAGAAAAUAAAUGGGAGAACCUCAAAGGCAUCUAAAAUGUCUCAAUAUCUACAUCAUGCCCAGGUAUCCCUUCCGACGCCGACAGAGAUGGCCGCUUCGCGUUCCUAGGAAACUAUGCAGUUUUUUUUUACGUGUUAUUUCUUACAUUAGUACCCCAGGUCAUCUUAGGUUUCAUUACAUACAGUCGAGAAGAACUACUGAA